UUUUUUUGUUUCGAUAUUUCGUUACAUACUUAUACUAAUGUUUAAAAUGAAGCCGCGAGUUAAGAGUUUCCGAGAACCGAAGUUCUUUUCCAUCUUAAUACGCCAUCAAGUGCACAGUGUUAGAAGUGGGGGUCAGGCUCUUCGAAAAGACGCCCUAAUAUUCACUAAUGAUCCUUCCGCAGGUUCACCUACGGAAA
rnacentral:misc_RNA from 1 species